rnacentral:tRNA from 1 species
UUGUGACAGAUUUAAUGUAUUAAAUUUAAGAUUUAGCCAUGAAUAUUUCCUUUAGAA